AAUUAAAUUAAAUGUUUGGUAUCCUAGUUAUAGUAACAAGCUGAGAGAAGGCUUGGUCACUAAAAGAGACAGAUUGUAACUGGAGGUUAUGGAUAGUAAUUGGUUAAAUUCUUUAAUUCAAAACAGAGAAAAAUAUACAGCGCCCUCCAGGGAAUAGACAGUGAAAACUGGUCCGGGUGUUGCCAGCUAACUACAGUUCAAAGAGCGCUUUAUCCCCAGAGCCUCUCUUGUAACACAUUUGGUCUCAAAGCAUCCUGUAUGAUUGAUGGGAAAUAUCCAAGGAGAAUGAGAGAGGUGGGAAGAGGAAACAGACUCACUCUGAGAGAGACGUUAUGGGCCUGCAUUCGCUGGAGCUUACAAGAAUGAGGAGGGACUUAAUGAAACUUUAUUGAGUAUUGAAAGACCAAGAUGGAAAGGAUGUUUCCUAUAGUGGAUAUGGUUCUGCUAUGGUUAGAGCCUGCAAUCUGCAUUCUGGCAGCAUGACUUUGGGCCGAUCGGGCGCUCUGGUGCUUUGCUGUCUCCAAGAGUUUUCCACGAGGCUGCAACCAAAGUGGGGACACGGAGGUCAAGAAGGCAGGAGAUGGGGUGCAAGCACAUGGACGACUCCCUCUCUCACCGAUCUCGCUGACUAAAGCGCCAAGGGAGACUGAAAUCAUCGAGGCGAGUGUGGAAGGCCAGUGAGUGUUCAGUGUCACCUACCGGCCUCUCGUUUGCUGCUGCUGGAGAAGGUGUCAGUGUAUGGCGGUCCCUUACACUCUUUCACUCACUACUCCCAAGGGAAGGUCCUUACAUUUGAAUCUCUCUCUCUCUCUUCCGCUGGAGCAAUGUUUAAUUGAUGCAGAUUGUAGACUUGGACUCUAAUUCAGAUUUAUAAUGUGUUCUAGUUUCUCGUUCUAGUCCAGGUUGCCCUUUUUGGUUACUACUUUUGGGUGAUAUUUGACUUAGGGUGGCCAGCAGAUAAUGAGCAUUGAGCUGAACUGAACUGAAGAAUCCCUUUAGAUUUUGUGUUUUUUAUUCUGUGUUUUCAUUCUUUUUUUGUUGCCAUUUGUGUGGUUUUUUUUUGCAUCUUGGGGGAGGAGGGGUUUGUUGCUUGAUGGCUUCCUUUGAACAGGUUGAUUCCAUGGUUCUGCUUUGCUUCAUUGACUGUCUAUGGUGAAGAUGAAUCUCAGGGAUGCAUACAGCAUAUAUACCUUGAUAAUGUACAUUGAGUCUGCUUGGGUAUCCUACAACCCAAUAGCAUGAACAUUGAAUUUUCCACUUUCAGGUCACCCACACACCCUGCGAUCUUCUACCGCUCCUAAUGAUCCAAUUAGUUUUCUCUGUUCAACCUGUCCAUUCCAGUCCCAUCUCCUACCCACACUCCACUCCUUAGAUUCAUCACCCUUCCCCUGCAAGUCCCAUCAGCCCAAUACCUACACAAUAUCCACCUACUUUUCCCUUCCUAUCUCCUGGAACAUCUGGUUUCAUCUGCCCAUCAUCCUUCCCAUAUACUGUAUGGCUCCACUUGCCAUCUUCCAGCCUCUCUCUCCUUCCCCCCACCAUUCUCCCCACUUGGCUCCCUCUGCCAUUUCCCUAUUCUCCCCCCCCCCAUCAUGUUCCCCCUUACCAACCACCCGCCAGCCUCUGUCUUUAAACUCCAGGCCCACACCCCAUUCUGGAUCCACCUGCCCAUCAUCUAAAACCUCACUAGUUUCCAUCUUUCCCUAUCUCACCCCUCCUUCUCACCUCUUUAUCCCAGCUAUCCUCUAUCCACAGUCCGUCCUGAGGCAGGGUCCUGACUCCAAGUGUCGACCACUCCUCAGCCUCACAGAUGCUGCUUGACCUCUUAAGUUCCUCCAGCAGUUUGUUCUGUGUCCCAGAUUCCAGCAUCUGCAAACUCUGCAGUCUUUUUCUCGAGGGCAGUGCCUUAAUGUAACCUUUUGCUUGAAAAGACAGAGUUAAUUGGCGGAAUGCUGAGAAAAUGCUGAUCUUCGGUGCAGGGAAGUUUUCAGGGCUGGAGAGAAAGCAAACGCAAUGCAAACAACAUAGAAGUGAUGCUCCUGAGAUAUUUACCUUGGACAGGCGGAAUACCGUCUAUCUGACAUCAGCUUUAUCUUAGGAAAAGAAUGCGGAUGAUGGGUGAAUUGAACUAGGUGAAUGAAGGCUUCGCUGCAAAUCAGUCAGAAGUUAAUCAUAACAUUAAAACAAUUCAUAUGACCUAAGUUACUCAUGAUUACUUCCCUGUUGAAAAGCAAUAAUUUAUGCCAAUGAUCAUGUGGUUGGUAAUAUUCUGGAGACUGUUUAUAAAUUCACUAUUCUGGUUCUCUGGCUACUUCUGGUGAUACUAUCUAGUAAGAUAGUGUGGGGAGCUUAGUCACAGUGGCCUCUCAUUUCAACAAGUGGUUGAAAUGUUUGUCUUGUCUUUUACAUUUUUCUUACGAUUGCAAGACCCUGUUGGACAUUAAUAGUACAAAAUAGUGGCAGGCACAUCUAUAAGGGCCUCCUUACAUGGUCUUCUCUACUGUCAAGAUGAAGCCACACUCAGGUUGGAGGAACAACACCUUAUUUACCGGCUGGGUAGCCUCCAACCUGAUGGCGUGAACAUUGACUUCUCUAACUUCCGUUAAUGCCCCUCCUCCCCUUCUUAACCCAUCCCUGAUAUAUUUUGUUUUUCUCCCCUCCUCUUUUUUCUCUCUUUCUGCCCUUCACUCUGCCUGUUCUCCAUCUGCCUCUGGUGCUUCCAUCCCCCUUUCUUUCUCCCUAGGCCUCCCCUCCCAUGAUCCUUUCUCUUCUCCACCUCUCUAUCCCUUUUGCCAAUCACCUUUCCAGCUCUUAGCUUCACCCCACCCCCUCCGGUCUUCUCCUAUCAUUUGGCAUUUCCCCCUCCCCCUCCUGCUUUCAAAUCUCUUACUAUCUUUCCUUUCAGUUAGUCCUGAUGAAGGGUCUCGACCCAUCUUCUCCCUAUAGAUGCUGCCUGGCCUGCUGUGUUCCACCAGUAUUUUGUGUGUGUUGCUUGAAUUUCCAGCAUCUGCAGAUUUCUUCGUGUUGACAUCUAUAAGGACCACUGUCGCCAGAAAGCAGCAUCUGUAAUCAAGGACCCCACCAUCCAGCUCAUACUCUCUUCUUGCUGCUGCCAUCAGGAAGGAGGUACAGGAGCCUCAAGACUCACACCACCAAGUUCAGGAACAGUUAUUACCCCUCAACAUCAGUUUCCUGAACUAGCAUGGAUAACAUCGCUCACACCAACACUGAACUGAUUCCACAACCUAUGGACUCACUCUCAAUGACUCUAUAUCUCAUGUUCUCGAUAUUUAUUGCUUAUUUACUUAUCAUUAUUAUUUUGAUGUUUUUCUUUCUUUUUAUAUUUGCACAGUUUGUGGUCUUUUACACAUUGGUUGCUUGUUUGUCUUUGUUGUGUGUGGUUUCUCAUUGAUUCUCUUGUGUUUCUUUGUAUCUACUGUGAUUGUCCACAAAAGAAAAUGAAUCUCAGGGUAGUAUAUGGUGACAUAUACGUACUUUGAUAAUAAAAUUUACUUUGAACUUUGAACUCAGUGACUUGCGGUAAUAUUAUUUUGUGCCAGCAUGUGUUGGAUUGUAACCAUACAGCACUGUGCAAAGGUCUUGGGCACGUCUAGAUAGCUAGGGUGGCUGAGAUCUUUGUGCAGUAUCGUAUACGUCAAGGUGGAGCGGAGAGAAAAGUUGUAAAUCUGGCGGGAGCAAAGGAGGUUGGGAAUGGUGAGGGUAGAGCACCACAGGACGGUUGUGGGACAGGUGGUUGAUGAGUGGCGGGGGUGGGGGGUGGUGUGGGUGCAGACACCCCGUUUUGAGACGUAAGGCUAGGUCAUUUGAUUCCAAGCAACUGGUUUAUUGAUCGUUACGGAAUAUCUCUGUGGUGCUCCCCACUCCCUCCCCCUUUUCACCACCGUGAUUCCACUCUCCCUGCCCCCUUCCCACUCUCAGUCCACAAUAGAGACCCAUAAUCAGAAUCAGGUUUAUCAUCACUCACAUAUGUCAUGAAAUUUGUACAGAGCAGUACAUAAAAUUACUACAGCACUGCACAAAAAUGUUAGUCACCCCAGCUAUAUAUGUGUGCCUCAGGCUUUUGCGCAAUACUGCAAGUACUGUUUUGCACCUUGGCCCCAGAGGAACGAUGCAUUGUUCAACUGUUUGCUUCUGUAUGAUUGAGUGGCAAUAAACUUGAACUGAUCUGAUUUUAUCUGAUGUCGAAAAAUUUCCCAAAUCAAAUGGUGGUAAAAUUGAAGUGUUUCAGUUCCUGCCACAGACACAGCUAUUAUUUCCACCCCUGUCCCAGGCCACAAACCUCGGGUCGUACUUUACUGCAAGGUAAGCUGUGGACCAUACAUCUCGAUCGUCACUAAGAGCAUUUGCUUCUAUCGUGCACAGCUCUCCUCUGGCCUCAGUUCAUCUGCUGUUGAAGCUACAGCUGUGCCUGCUUUCCAUUACGUCAGCUUCCCUCAAUUAAACAUAAUGACAUCUAAAACUCUGCUGGCUACAUCCAAACCCACACAA